UACGUAGGGUGCAAGCGUUAAUCGGAAUUACUGGGCGUAAAGCGUGCGCAGGCGGCUUUGCAAGACAGAUGUGAAAUCCCCGGGCUUAACCUGGGAACUGCGUUUGUGACUGUAAGACUGGAGUGUGGCAGAGGGGGGUGGAACUCCACGUGUAGCAGUGAAAUGCGUAGAUAUGUGGAGGAACAUCGAUGGCGAAGGCAGCCCCCUGGGUUAACACUGACGCUCAUGCACGAAAGCGUGGGGAGCAAACAGG
rnacentral:rRNA from 1 species